rnacentral:rRNA from 1 species
UACGUAGGGUGCGAGCGUUGUUCGGAAUUACUGGGCGUAAAGGGCGCGCAGGCGGCCAGACAAGUCAGAUGUGAAAUCCCUGGGCUCAACCGAGGAAGUGCAUCCGAAACUGCUUGGCUAGAAGACGGUAGAGGAAGGUGGAAUUCCUAGUGUAGAGGUGAAAUUCGUAGAUAUUAGGAGGAAUACCGGUGGCGAAGGCGGCCUUCUGGGCCGAUCUUGACGCUGAGACGCGAAAGCGUGGGGAGCAAACAGG